AGAGUUUGAUCCUGGCUCAGGAUGAACGCUAGCUACAGGCUUAACACAUGCAAGUCGAGGGGAAACGACAUCGAAAGCUUGCUUUUGAUGGGCGUCGACCGGCGUACGGGUGAGUAACACGUAUCCAACCUGCCGUCUACUCUUGGGACAGCUUCUGAAAGGAAGAUUAAUACAAGAUGGCAUCAUGAGUUCACAUGUUCACAUGAUUAAAGGUUUCCGGUAGACGAUGGGGAUGCGUUCCAUUAGAUAGUAGGCGGGGUAACGGCCCACCUAGUCUUCGAUGGAUAGGGGUUCUGAGAGGAAGGUCCCCCACAUUGGAACUGAGACACGGUCCAAACUCCUACGGGAGGCAGCA
rnacentral:rRNA from 1 species